AAGUAGUAGAGGGCUGCAGCAGGGGAUCCAGUUGUAUAAGCAAGUGCCAAUUUAAUAGUUGCUGUUUACUAAGCUUGGUAUUAUCAAGUCUUAACAGGACUUUACUAAAGCAAACUUCUCCCUGGUGGCCUGUCCUCAUUGCUUCUGCAGUUUAAGAAAAUUAAAUGAGAGUAAUAGUGCUAAUUGUUAUUAAGUAACUGGUUAUCUUUAAUCAGGACAUUUUGUGCUACAACAUAGUGCAUUUGGGCAAUAUCAAGACAUAAAGAGGACAGAAAAAUGGCUUUGUGUAUGCAUUUUAAAAUUUCCUGAGUCUAGGGAUGGCCCUAUUUAUUCAAACUCCUAAUAAAAUGUUAAUUAUUAGCUACACUACAAAAAAAUUAAAUGAUGGGUAUCUCACCAAUAAGGUCCAUUCCACACAAGGCCCUCCUUUGAACUGUGCAGACUUCUUGGGAAACGUAGUCUCCCCACAAGCCCUUAUUCAGAAUUCACCUAUUCCCAGAGCAGCAGCAUGUUCUAUUGCUCUGUUCCAGGAACCUGUCACAAGAAGCCAAAAAUGACCAUGUGCUGUGCAGAACUAGCUUCUGUUGCACCUGCUUAAAGAGGUAGAACGUAUCAGGAAGAAAAAUGGAGAAGAGAACUGACAAGAUCAUGUUAGGACCAGAGAGCCUGCAUGGCUGCACUGCGGGCGGCCACCGAUCUAGUCUCUGCCUUCACAAUGCAGAUCGAAGUGUGAUAAAGUGUGUAGGUCACGGUCAUGAGUAGCUGAGUGC
rnacentral:lncRNA from 1 species